rnacentral:rRNA from 1 species
UACGUAGGGUGCGAGCGUUUAAUCGGAAUUACUGGGCGUAAAGCGUGCGCAGGCGGUUCGUUGUGUCGGCGGUGAAAUCCCCGGGCUCAACCUGGGAAUGGCCGUUGAAACUGGCGAACUGGAGUGUGGCAGAGGGGGGUGGAAUUCCGCGUGUAGCAGUGAAAUGCGUAGAGAUGCGAAGGAACACCGAUGGCGAAGGCAGCCCCCUGGGCUGACACUGACGCUCAGGCACGAAAGCGUGGGGAGCAAACAGG